rnacentral:rRNA from 1 species
UGGGGAAUAUUGGACAAUGGGGGCAACCCUGAUCCAGCCAUGCCGCGUGAGUGAAGAAGGCCUUAGGGUUGUAAAGCUCUUUCAGUCGUGACGAUGAUGACGGUAGCGACAGAAGAAGCCCCGGCUAACUCCGUGCCAGCAGCCGCGGUAAUACGGAGGGUGCGAGCGUUAAUCGGAAUUACUGGGCGUAAAGCGCAUGCAGGUGGUUUGUUAAGUCAGAUGUGAAAGCCCGGGGCUCAACCUCGGAAUAGCAUUUGAAACUGGCAGACUAGAGUACUGUAGAGGGGGGUAGAAUUUCAGGUGUAGCGGUGAAAUGCGUAGAGAUCUGAAGGAAUACCGGUGGCGAAGGCGGCCCCCUGGACAGAUACUGACACUCAGAUGCGAAAGCGUGGGGAGCAAACAGGAUUAGAUACCCGUGUAGUCC